rnacentral:rRNA from 1 species
UAGGGAAUCUUCGGCAAUGGACGAAAGUCUGACCGAGCAACGCCGCGUGAGUGAAGAAGGUUUUCGGAUCGUAAAACUCUGUUGUUAGAGAAGAACAAGGACGUUAGUAACUGAACGUCCCCUGACGGUAUCUAACCAGAAAGCCACGGCUAACUACGUGCCAGCAGCCGCGGUAAUACGUAGGUGGCAAGCGUUGUCCGGAUUUAUUGGGCGUAAAGCGAGCGCAGGCGGUUUCUUAAGUCUGAUGUGAAAGCCCCCGGCUCAACCGGGGAGGGUCAUUGGAAACUGGGAGACUUGAGUGCAGAAGAGGAGAGUGGAAUUCCAUGUGUAGCGGUGAAAUGCGUAGAUAUAUGGAGGAACACCAGUGGAGAAGGCGGCUCUCUGGUCUGUAACUGACGAUGAGGCUCGAAAGCGUGGGGAGCAAACAGG